ensembl:lncRNA
CUUGUUCCAAAUAAUUUUGUUUACAUUACCUACAAAAACUUCAUGAGACAUUAGACAAAGGCAGCCGUCACUUUUCUGCUGACAAAUUUUGUAGCAGAGAUAAUGUAAACUUGUUUGAUUUUUAGUAAAGCUAGGUAGAACAAGUUUUCUAUUUUAUGCUGGGAACUCUCAGGACAUGCCUAUUUUAAUUAACCCAACAAACUUAGACAAGCUUUUAUUUACCAAAGAUUAUUUUAUAUCACGUUAACUUGACAAACAUUUAGAUUAGUUUCUAUUGUCGACAAAAAAUAAUCCAUAACCAAUCUAUAAAUGCAAAUUUGGGUGAUUUAUUCUGAGCUUAAAUCUUAGGAUUAUAACCUGGGAGAGUCUUUCCACAAAGGAACAGAGCACUCCAAAGAAGUGGGGGUACACAGGGCGGUUAUAUACCCUCAAAGAGGGUGUUUCACAUAUGAUUGAAAUGUCCCUCCCACAAUAGUCACAAGAUUGCCCUGUCAGCACUUGAUGGACACAGCAGGUAGUGGGUCUGCUAUCUCGGUGGGCAUAGCAGGAGGCAAGUCUAUUGUCUGGAGCUGGGCGGUCACAGGUGAGUGCAGUAAUGAGUUCCUAGCCUAAGGAAAGAUGCUUAAUCCUUAAAGAAAUGCCAACAUUGGGAGGGGGAGGGAAGUCAGUUACAGGAGGUUACCAGACUAGCACAAUAAAAUGCAGAUUUAAGUCCUUGCCUUUGGUAUUGAUUAAGAGUUUCUAGAGAGAAGGGCAUCUCCUUUCUUCUUCCUGGUACAGAGAGGGAGGCACAUAUUACAGAUGGAGAUUUACCUUACAAAUGUAAACGUGUCCUAACAAAGGGCAAGUUCCAUUCCUCAGAGCCUUCUUCCCUGUCCCAGUUUAUCAAAAGCAAUCAGCUUCAAAUAAUCCUGAUACCAAAGAGACAUAUCUUGGGGUGGCCAAUUUCAGGUCCCUACACAACCAAACUUUCAAUAAAACUAUUGUGGAAUUUUGAAGCCUUUGCUUUUAACUGCAUGCACUUUUAAAUGAUAGUAUCAAAUCAGGAUGUUCCUUCUACUGCCAGUUGUAAUUUCAAAUCAUCCUUAGUAAUCUUGGUUCACUGGGAUUAAAAUUUACAAGAGAAGGGACCAUAUGUUUUCCACAGAAAACCAGCUGGAGAUCCUGAGGGAGGAACUUCUCAAGGAACUUCAGGAAAUAAGAGUCCCAUGUUAAAGAAAAGGGGGCAAACAAAACAGUAAGAAUGACAACAGGGAAACCCAUCAAUUAUGUCAGAGUGCUCACCAAGCAGGGGGGAGAAAACUCUGCAAGGGAAGUCCUUCCUGGGGCAAUGACCUUGAGCCAAAAAAGCCACACUGGCACUGAGACAAUUGUCUCAUAGGCAGUCAACCAUCCCCAAAAAGACACUGAACUCAACGAAGUGGAAGGAGGUCAGAACCUGGGAGGGCUCCCAAUUGCAGGAGCCACAGGUCCCUGGAAACCGUCAGCACAAGGGGCUCGUGUAGGAACCAUAUCCGGUUCCUGAGGAUGCCGGUCCACAAAGGGGAGAUUGCUUCAGGUCCUGCUCCUGGCACGUGUAUAUUAACGUCAAAGCAAAGAGCCAAACUGAGAGGCAGAAAGGUGCUCAUUCUGGGUUCAAAGAAUUACAAUUAGGGGUACACAGAUUUGAGUAGCAACUGGAAAUAGCAUCCCGCUGGGACUAAGAAACCAGGGCUUUUAAAGGCAAAAGAGGGAGAUUUGCAUUACAAAGAACGUUAAUUGGACUCAGUGACAGAAACUUAAUUUUGACUAAACAUAAUUAAUUGCUAAGGCUGACUACAAAGAGGCAAAAGUCUGUCACUGUGACAAGUUGCAGGUUUAUUGCAGGAUUCUCAGAAUAUUUGAGUCUUGACUGAGUUCAAAAGAUCAUA